CUGACGGAGCAACGCCGCGUGAGUGAUGAAGGUUUUCGGAUCGUAAAACUCUGUUGUUAGGGAAGAACAAGUACCGUUCGAAUAGGGCGGUACCUUGACGGUACCUAACCAGAAAGCCACGGCUAACUACGUGCCAGCAGCCGCGGUAAUACGUAGGUGGCAAGCGUUGUCCGGAAUUAUUGGGCGUAAAGCGCGCGCAGGUGGUUUCUUAAGUCUGAUGUGAAAGCCCACGGCUCAACCGUGGAGGGUCAUUGGAAACUGGGGAACUUGAGUGCAGAAGAGGAAAGUGGAAUUCCAAGUGUAGCGGUGAAAUGCGUAGAUAUUUGGAGGAACACCAGUGGCGAAGGCGACUUUCUGGUCUGUAACUGACACUGAGGCGCGAAAGCGUGGGGAGCAAACAGGAUUAGAUACCCUGGUAGUCCACGCCGUAAACGAUGAGUGCUAAGUGUUAGAGGGUUUCCGCCCUUUAGUGCUGCAGCUAACGCAUUAAGCACUCCGCCUGGGGAGUACGGUCGCAAGACUG
rnacentral:rRNA from 1 species